rnacentral:rRNA from 1 species
AGUCAGACAGUGUGAGAUAAGUUUCAUUGUCAAAAGGGAAACAGCCCAGACCCACAGCUAAGGUCCCAAAGUACGGUUAAGUGGAAAAGGAUGUGGAGUUGCACAGACAACCAGGAUGUUGGCUUAGAAGCAGCCACUCAUUAAAAGAGUGCGUAAUAGCUCACUGGUCGAGUGACCCUGCGCCGAAAAUUUAACGGGGCUAAAUCGUACACCGAAGCUUGGGAUGCAGUAAUGCAUGGUAGGAGAGCGUCGUAUAAGGGGUGAAGUCAGAGCGUAAGCGCUGGUGGACUUUAUACGAGUGAGAAUGCCGGAAUGAGUAGCGAGAAAUAUGUGAGAAUCAUAUUGGCCGAAAGUCUAAGGUUUUUGGAGGAAGGUUCGUCCGCUCCAAGUAAGUCGGGAGCUAAGGUCAGGCCGAAAGGCGUAGCCGAUGCACAUACGGUUGAUAUUCCGUAACCAUCUGUAAUUUAAGCAAAGGGACACUUCAAAAGGGUGUGACCCGGGCGUUGGUUGACCCGGGCGUAAGGGACCGAAAUUAGAGUAGGGAAGCACACUUAGCUGAAGGCGAGAAAAGCUUUGCGUAUAGAAACAGAUGCCCGUACCGCAAACCGACACAGGUGGACAGGAAGAGAAUUCUAAGGCCAGCGGGAGAAGGGUAGUUAAGGAACUCGGCAAAUUGACCCCGUAACUUCGGAAUAAGGGGUGCUCUCUACGGAGAGCCGCAGUGAAUAGGUCCAGGCGACUGUUUAUCAAAAACACAGGUCUCUGCUAAAUCGAAAGAUGACGUAUAGGGGCUGACACCUGCCCGGUGCUGGAAGGUUAAGAGGAGGAGUGAGAGCUCCGAAUUGAAGCCCCAGUAAACGGCGGCCGUAACUAUAACGGUCCUAAGGUAGCGAAAUUCCUUGUCGGGUAAGUUCCGACCCGCACGAAUGGUGUAACGAUCUGGACACUGUCUCAAUUACCCACCCGGCGAAAUUGUAGUACCGGUGAAGAUGCCGGUUACCCGCGGCAAGACGGAAAGACCCCAUGGAGCUUUACUGUAACUUGAUAUUGGGUCUUGGUAUUCUAUGUACAGGAUAGGCGGGAGACUAUGAAACAUACACGCCAGUGUAUGCGGAGUCACCCUUGGGAUACCGCUCUUAGAGUACUGAGAUUCUAACCUGCGGCCGUGAAUCCGGUCGGGGGACAUUGUCAGGUGGGCAGUUUGACUGGGGCGGUCGCCUCCUAAAAGGUAACGGAGGCGCUCAAAGGUUCGUUCAGCACGGACGGAAAUCGUGCAU